AUCCUGACCACAGCACAUACACUAAGACUGGAACAAUACAGAGAAGACUAACGCGGCUCCUGUGCAAGGAUGACACUCAUUUUUAGCUUCUUCUGGGCUCCUUUU